UUGUUUCUUUUUGGCCCACUUGUCAAUUAAUUGAGAACAUUGCGGCAUGGUGAUCGACUGGUUAGCAUGUCCACCUCACAGUGCAGAGGUCCGGGGUUUGAUUCCCGGCUCUGGCCAUCCCGUGUGGAGUUUACUUGUUCUCUCCGUGCCUGUGUGGGCUUUCUCCGGGUACCCUGGUUUCCUUCCUUCCUUUUUGCCUCAGCGCCCGCAGAAGCUGCUUUCCGCUUUGUCAGCCGGUACUUUUCAGCUUCCUCUGGAGUCCUAAGGGCCAAAAAGGCCCACAGGUGGUGAGCCCAUGACCAGGGGGACCCACGUGGCCUUUUCAGCCCCAUGUGCUCUGGCCCGGCCACCAGGUGCUUGCCAGCGAGCCUCACCACCAGGCCUGGCUCCAGAGGGGGUCCCCACUGACCCGUGUCGAGGCAAGGGAAAAUGUGAUCCAAAUUUCCCAAACAUCCUAAGGAUUGUCUCUCAGCUGUGCUUCUUCUCGUCCCUCACCGUAGCUCCUCGGAUCAUUGGGACAUGCAAACCCUUCCACCACGGUAAGGUGACCUCAGUCAGAAAAGUUUGUAAUUAAAAUCCCAAAUUACUCCUAGUGAAGAGUGAAGAAAAUAAUGAGGCUAGAAAAUGACAGACUGAUCAUUGCAGCAUCUGCGGUGAUGCGGACUUUGCAUCUAUCUGUCAAAGUCAAAAAGUUCAGCUAUAAAGUUACUGGCUAAGUUGCAAUCCCGCUUUCACAUGAGCUGUGGGUUGUACAAUCAUAAGCAACCAAAAGGGUUUCCGGGCUUUCCCUUAGUGGUAAUGUGGAAGAACCACUGUUCCUCUCCAUCGAGAGGAGCAAGAUACUGUAGGUGGCUUGGACAUCUGGGUUAGCAUGUCUCCUGGAAACCUCCCUGGUGACAUGGUCCAGCCAUGUCUCACCUAGGUGGAGGAACCAGGGACCACCCAAAACCCACCAGAGAAGCCCUCUACUAGCUAAUGGUUACAUGUCAUUGUGACCCCAGAAACGCUGGACAAAAUGGCUUGAGACAAGGAAACUGGGCUUUUUGUCUCUUGCCCCUGCAACCUGACCCGGAUAACCAGAAGAAAAUUGAUGGACUGAUAGAUGAGUGUGUGUUCACCCUUUUAUACACCUUGCUUGCUUGACAUGUUAAUCCUAGCCUCAGGCGAAGGGAUUUUGGAGCCGUCCUCUGACUAAGGUUAUACUAAGGCCAUCCAUUUACUUUCUUCUCUCAUACUUCUGCUGAUAUUCUGAGGAAAUGUUUUUCUUUGGAGGGAUGUCUUUAAUAGUUGAAUUUGCAAUAUGGUCAAACGUGCUUCACUAGUUAUGGCUGAGGCCUGCUCCUAAUUUGUAAUUGUAGAAAGUUUCUCCAAGAAGGCAAUAAGAAGUUGUGUUUUGGUUUGUUGUUUGAUUUGUUUUGAUUACACAAAAACAAUCAAUCAAGUUGAACUUGGAAAGAACAAUUUCAAGGACAACUGCAUUGACAAUUUCUCUUUACUUGAAAUAUGCGAUUGAGAAACCUUGUCGCACUCAUUAUCAUGAAUGGCAAACAGUCCUGUGUUCCGAUAUUGGUUUCGUUAAGGUGUCGUCUUUUGACAUAUUUCAGUUUCUGAGCAUAUGUCAGCGCUUAUACCUGAUUGUCUCCUAGAUGUCCUGUUUUUUUAACCUUCUUCUGCUGCAUUGUAAAGCUUAAAAAAAAAAACAUCAUUUAUGAACUCACACUUAAAUUCCACGCCUGAUGUGGUGGCAAUUAUGCAAAGGAAAUUACUGUAUGUUCCUUGGAGGGGAGUUUUCCAGUAUUCCAGUCUUGUUAUUGUCACAAUAUUGGAUCUUGAGCCAGAGAGAUGAGUAACAUUUUCUUGUUAAGUUUAAUUUCUGGAUCAGUGGUGAUACAAGACUUGGCUCAUCUUCGAUAUCUCAUUCUGAUUCAAAAUUUUUCCUCAAUUGUUUAUACAUAUGUGAUCUAUUCUGAUCUAGCGUUUACAUGCUUCACUAGAAUGAAUCAGAACAGCCGUUUAACAGCCACGUUGCACAUGCUGAGCCAAUGUAAACAUCACGAUUUGUCAAGAUGGACAUCAGGUCUACUGUCUUCGUUAUUAAGUAUUGUUGUGCGUGUGUGUAUAUAUGUACAUAUACACGAUCACCUGACACCGACAAGCACCAUUUUGUGAACUCAGGCCAGAAAAUGUGUAACUAUUUCUGCCUGUAGCACGGCCAUGUGAACUCACCUGAGCUGUACUCCUCGGGUAAAAAUAAAAAAAAUAGUGAAUUCAGUCCUUCGUUAAGCUUUAUCCAGCUUUUACAACCUUUUAAGUCAAGAGGUAGCUUUACAAUUUGGAAUGUUGGUGACCGCAGGAGUAGUUCUUCAGAAUGUAUACAAAUCCAAUGCCCUCCAGUGACAGCUCGUGCCUACGAAAAACCUCUCGAUCUCACUCAAAAAAAGCUCAAGUGUUUAUGACUUCAUGACUCAGCUUGCCCAACAGAAAUCCCUCAAAAUAACUCUGAAUUCAGUGCGUUUGAGGCUAUUUGGCGGAUAACUCGACAGAGAAGCAGGGUAUCAGUGGCUGGGUUCAGGGCCUCUGUUGAGAAGUAGUUUUUCAUAUGACACACAUAUUACUGUGCAACGUAAGAAGUAAUCCUAUAUUGAAUAUGUUGUGUUUGGUAAUGCUCAUCAACAUGGAAGUUUGUAGGAGGUCUGAUAUGUUUUUGAGACAUGCCGUAAUAUGGAAUACAUCAUGUAUAAUUGCAGCAACAGUAUUUAUUUUGAUAUGUGUAUUUACAAGGCAUGCAGAUCAGAUCACUGACUUCAAUGAACCCAACAUGGUAUAUACUGCGUGCUACAUUGUGGCCACAAGCUUCGCUAUUUCACCCUCAGGUACCAUAUUUUUAAUAGUAUAUUAAUUAAUUCAUCAAAAUAUUCUCCAAAAUGGACGGUGCACCUAAUAAUACGUGCUGCCUUAUGUGUGCACAGAGUUCUUCCAAAAUCUUUGAAUGUUGUUGCGUGACUUUGAAGAGCGCUCCGCUUGAACGACUGAUGUUGUGCCGAUAUUGAGGAAAGGCGGAUGUCACUGAGGACAGAAUGCGAACGUUAAAGGGGGAAGGUGCCUUAUGUGGUUUGGGCAAUACAGGUAUUCAUCUUCACGUAUUUUUGUGCAAGUGGGAUUAAAAGUUUCAUUUAUGGUACAGACGAAUAAAGUUUUAUGUUUUGAAAACAAAACAUAUUCACAAAAGCACAAUUGUGAAAAUGAAACCUAAAUUUGUCAUUUUGAUCUAUUUUAACGGAUCAGCCACACAAAUGAAAAGAUUUUGAGAUCCGUACCUCUGUUUAUUUUCACGGGCUGAAGGUUCUUCCAGGAACUAAUUUCCAUUCGAGAGACAAUCAUAUCUUUUAACCAUGAAUACUGUUCCAAGUCAAACAGCCGCUUUUGAUUCACAUGCUUGGUGGUGAUCUGUUUGAUCUCUACAAACAGACCAGUUAUGGUUGCCUGCUGAGUCACCAUUCCAGUGUUCAUCCUGUCCACUAACAGUUUAAAAUUCUCCAGCUCCUUCGGAACUUGUUUCAGAGUCAUGGUAGUCAACACUGGCCUGUUGCAUAUACAGUACUGUAUAGUGUGAAUAUGAAUGGGCUAGCAAGAUAAAGCUGCCACGCCCUGGCUAAUAGCUAGCUAAAAAUAGCCCGUUUUAGUCAAGCCAGACACAUCCUCCCUGGGGGACAAGAGCCAGUCGACGCACUCCAAAAGACCUGAAAACCAAAUUUAGACGACUUCAGUGUCCGCAGCCUCGGUAGCCCAUCGUUUGCAGAUUUACCGCUAAGUUAGUCGCUUCACACAAAAAAUGCAGCCUCCUCUGCUAACUGGCUUUUGACUCAUCAUUAAGCUUCAGGUGAGAUUAAUAGCAUUAUUGUCGAGCUCCACUUAGUCAGCGGAAUAAUCGUAUUAUCCCUAAGCUGCUCUUUCACUGCCCUUUCAACGUGAACUAAACACCCAGCUGUUUCACCCUAUGACAUUAGCAUACACUGUGUGUGGGUGUACAAGGGGAGGGGGUGAAGUCCAUCAGGU